rnacentral:rRNA from 1 species
CCCUUAGAUGUUCUGGGCAGCACGCGCGCUACAAUGGUCUUCGCAAACGGAUGCAUUCUCGAAUGAGAAUGCCAAUCUUGGAAUCUAUGCCUUGGUCGGGACAGUUGCUUGCAAUUUUUCGACUCGAACCAGGAAUUCCUUGUAAUCGUGAUUCAUCACAUCACGAUGAAUACGUCCCUGCCCUUUGUACACACCGCCCGUCGCUCCUACCGAUCGAAGAGUUAGGUGAAUUGUUUUGAUCGAUAAGAUUUGACUAUGGUCAACUCUCGUUGUGAAAUUCUGUGAAUCCGACUGUUUAGAGGAAGGAAAAGUCGUAACA